GUUAACUGUACAAUUUACAAGUGUAAAAGUAAUGAAUAUUACAGCAGUAACAAAGAAAAUAAGCCAAAAAUUUCAUUUCACAGGCAAAUGUUUAUUCUUGCAACAAUGUAUUAAUCAGGCCUUACUGCAAUAAUUAAUACACACAUCACCUGACACGGGUAAAUAUAUAGUAUUUUUUUAAUAAAUUACAUACCGACAACAUUUGACCAUACCAGGCAUACAAUACACAUAUAUAUUUACAGUAAAACUAUGUACAGUCAAACUACACAAACUGUAAGUACUCAAUGACCACUUCCACAAUUGGCCUGAAUGCCCAUUAACAACAGUUCUACUGUAUAUCACAAGUGGCAAUUGUUCCUUACAAGGCUCUUGUAAAGGUCACAGAGAAACAAAUUGUGAAAUUAACCCAUUGAGUCGCAUUGCGCCCUGAUGCACAUUACUUUAUUAUUUCACUCUGUCUAACGCCAGAUAAGUUUACUCAUCAAGGGGAUAGCGCUGGCGCUUAAUGGGUUAACUAGCCUAUCUGCCCAUGUGUCUAGUUAACCCAUUGAGAUGCAUUGCACCCUAUUUUAUUAUUUUACUCUGUCUAACGUCAGACUCUUUCUAAUGUCAGACUCUUUCUAACGCCAGACAAUUUCACUUGUCAAGGGGAUAGCGCUGGCGCUUAAUGGGUUAAUUUAACCAUAACAAGUACACUACAAAUCAAAGUCUGUUUACACUACAAUUGAACACUGUGAACAUAUCUUCAAGCUGUAUGUUUGCCAGAAAGGCAACAGCAUCAACAACAUGAAGAACCUAAAAAGCAAAAUGAUUCUGGAAGUUUGUCAUCAUUUUCUCCUGGAUGGCAACAAAUCUGUGUUUGCAGACCACGAGCUAGGUGCAAACAAAGAUAUGAUUGAAGGUGACCACCAAGUAAAUCUAAUAAAGUGGCAGCAGACAAAUAUUAUACAUUGUGUCUCUUCAUGUACAGGAAGCACUACACACCCCCUGAGGAAAUCAGCUUCAGUUGACAGGGUUAGCAUGGGUAAAUAAAAUUUUUCUAUCUAUCCACAAUCAUACAGAAUGGAAUGCCCAGUGACAGGCACCAUUUAAUGCGCCGACCAAUUUAUACUGUUAACACCCUCCCGGGCAUUUGACAACUUGAGUGGGGAAUUUGACCUUUUGAAGUGCUGUUAGGGUAGGGCAUUUUACGCUGAGUCACAAGACUGGGGCAUUUGACCAUUUAAUGGGUCGUUCCAGAAAAGAUCCACACUCCCCCCACAGAGGAAAUUUUUGCCGUCCGGAGGGGGAGGGGAGAAAAAAUUGUUUCUGAUAAUAGUAAAUGCAUUAGGACAUCCAAAGGUGGUAGGGGGUAAACUUCCAAUUUCCUCUGUGGGGGUGGUAUGGAUGUUUUCUGGAACGACCCAAUACACCAGAUUGCGAGAGGUCUGAGAUUUAUUAAAAAACAAAAUUCAAAAUGGAGUAUACUUUAAACACUUUUGGAAGCUUUAUAAAGCAUGAGAUGUAAGUUGUUUAAUACAGAGUCUCAUUUAUUAAACUGUUGAAGUUAGCGUUGAAGUUACCUCAGUGUAUGUUUUUACACAAUUUCAAACUUGAACUGAUAGAAUUACAGUCAGAAUGAUUGGGGGAUUGGGGCAUUUGGACAGCAUUUUUGUCCUGGGAGUGGGAAAUUUAACCACAAAAGUUCAAAAAGUUCAAAUGCCCAGGGGUAUGCCCGGGGGAUGUUAACAGUAUAAAUUGAUUGGCGCAUAAACAAGUUGAAUGAUUCUUGUUCAAAAAUCAAUAGUUAUAGCAAAUAAGAGUACAAUAAGAGUAAAAUAAUACAAUACUUAUCUUUUAAUUAAUGAUUCGUUGGCCUGAGUCCACAAAUAUAGCCCAAACUGAACCAAUUCGUUGCUGUUGGAACGUUUGACUUUUCAGUCAGUAUUAAAAGCAAAACGAUGUCGCUCGUCGCUCGAUAAAAUAACUUUAAUAGGUUAGAUUGCAGAAUACCCGUCCACUUUGACAUAUUACACCUAUUAAUUCCUUGUAAACAUGGCGAAAUCAGAAAAGAAUGUCAAUUUUAAAUGCUUCGUUCUUUAAAGACUCCGGCAUUGAAUUUAACUACAAGCAACAUAUUCUUGUAGUUUUAUCUUUAAAUUUUAAUUGUGAACUGUUUUGAAAUAAUCUUUUAAUUCAUUUAUUCGGUUUAACAACCUAUCAAAAGUGGACGGGUAUUCUGCAAUCGCUCCCUUU